rnacentral:lncRNA from 1 species
CAGCCAAAUCAAAAGAAAUGAUGUCCGAACCAGAAGUAUGAUAAAUAUCAUUAGCCCAAAGAAGAUUCCCAUUCACAAACAUACCCGACUUAGUACAUAUCUUCCCAGUCUCAAAAUCAUCUAUACUUGUGCACGAGUUACUAUUUAGACUAUACAUUUUAACCUUAACAAGAAAUGAAUAGGCAUAACCCUCGUUAUGGAACCCAACCACUACCUUAUAAUCACGAUGAACCUCAUCAAAUCCAAAACCAUACAUGGAAUGGCAACCAGAACACCAUUUAUCUCUACAAUCAGGCAAUUUCUUGAACUUCCUAAUUGAUGGAUUCCAUAUAAACAAAUAUCUUUUUUGCAAUAACAAGACAAAUCAAUCCAUUCACAGAACCCACAAUCUCAACAGAUCUACGGGAUUUUAUCCUAGGAUACUCCAAGUUCAAUGCCUCAGUAACUGAGCCAUUAAUUAAAGAACUAACAGAACAAUCCUUAAGAUUGUACUUAGGUUGAUUAAAACUCAGCAUAAGCCUAUGGUGAGUUAAAUCCUCGUUAUUAGCAGAUUUACUGAGAUGGGUGUUGAUAAAUUCAGGUGUAGACAUUAAAUCAAG